rnacentral:rRNA from 1 species
AUACGGAGGGGGUUAGCGUUGUUCGGAAUUACUGGGCGUAAAGCGUACGUAGGCGGACUGGAAAGUUGGGGGUGAAAUCCCGGGGCUCAAUCCCGGAACUGCCUCCAAAACUUCCAAUCUAGAGAUCGAGAGAGGUGAGUGGAAUUCCAUGUGUAGAGGUGAAAUGCGUAGAUAUUUGGAGGAACACCAGUGGCGAAGGCGGCUCACUGGCUCGAUACUGACGCUGAGGUACGAAAGCGUGGGGAGCAAACAGGAUUAGAAACCCGAGUAGUCC